ensembl:lncRNA
CAUAUGCUGGUGUCCUUGCAGCCUCAAUGAAACCUCCCAUCCUGCAAGAUUUGGUUAGCUCAAGUACUCCCACCCUGGGAUGCUUCUUAAAAGAGCUAAACUGAUACUGUGAGACAGACGAGCAGACAGAUAGCAAGAAUAAGCAAGGCUUUUUGAAGGUGGCAUACAUUGCAUCUAGUUCUGAUUGAGAUUCGUGCUAGAAAAUAAAACUUCCACUCCGUCUGGAAUGUAAAAGAAGCCUUUCAAACUUGCAGUGUUUUUAAUAGAAAUUAAAUGAAUUAACUUAAGCUGGUACCUUACACAUGCAGGCAAAGAAUGGAUACCUAAAUAAUCUCAGUUUGUCUCUGCUACAGAUCUUGAUAAAAGGUUGGGCACAGGAUCACUGAAGAAGACCCCAAGUUGUCAAAAAAUGAUUGCAUGUAGUAUAUCUGGACUGUAGUAUAUGCAUGUAGUAUAUCCGGACUGCUAGAGAACAACAAAAAGACCUCUACCAAGCUACUGUUCAGGAGAACAGCCACAACAAACCAGUGCCAGUCUGCCAGUUCAGGCAACAGGCUUGCUUGCUGUGAGGAUAUUUGCCUUUCCCUAGCACCAAGAUCACCAACGCCUGUGAGAGGGAUAUUAAUCAUGCACCACCUGACUGAUCACCAUCCAAUUUCAGCCCUUAUGGAAGCUCAAGUUUUUAUGAAAUGACACGAAAGGAUGAAGCUGG